UUAAGUUCAGCGGGUAGUCCUACCUGAUUUGAGAUCGAACGAUCAAAAGGCUGUCUUCACUCGGGAAAGACAUCUGUGAGCCCCAGCGAACCCUCAUCGCUGAAGGUUGCAUGGCGGACGGCCACAAGCGUAGAUAGUUAUCACACCUGCAACGCCACCAAACACUGGUAAGCCGAUUCAUUUGAGAGGAGCCGACCGCA
rnacentral:misc_RNA from 1 species